AGCACGGCUGUAAACCGUGC
rnacentral:misc_RNA from 1 species